rnacentral:rRNA from 1 species
UACGUAGGGCGCAAGCGUUAUCCGGAAUUAUUGGGCGUAAAGAGCGUGUAGGCGGCCAUUUAGGUCCGGUGUGAAAACUCGAGGCUUACCUCGAGAUGUCAUCGGAAACCAUUUGGCUAGAGUCCGGAAGAGGAGAGUGGAAUUCCUGGUGUAGCGGUGAAAUGCGCAGAUAUCAGGAAGAACACCAAUGGCGAAAGCAGCUCUCUGGGACGGUACUGCGCUGAGACGCGAAAGCGUGGGAGCGAACAGG